rnacentral:rRNA from 1 species
GUAACGGCGAGUGAAGCGGCAACAGCUCAAAUUUGAAAUCUGGCCCCCAGGGCCCGAGUUGUAAUUUGCAGAGGAUGCUUUUGGCGCGGUGCCUUCCGAGUUCCCUGGAACGGGACGCCAUAGAGGGUGAGAGCCCCGUCUGGUCGGACGCCUAGCCUGUGUAAAGCUCCUUCGACGAGUCGAGUAGUUUGGGAAUGCUGCUCUAAAUGGGAGGUAUAUGUCUUCUAAAGCUAAAUACCGGCCAGAGACCGAUAGCGCACAAGUAGAGUGAUCGAAAGAUGAAAAGCACUUUGAAAAGAGGGUUAAAUAGUACGUGAAAUUGUUGAAAGGGAAGCGCUUGUGACCAGACUUGGGCCCGGUGGAUCAUCCAGCGUUCUCGCUGGUGCACUCCGCCGGGUUCAGGCCAGCAUCAGUUCGCCGCGGGGGAAAAAGGCUUCGGGAACGUGGCUCCUACGGGAGUGUUAUAGCCCGUUGCAUAAUACCCUGGGGCGGACUGAGGUUCGCGCUCCGCAAGGAUGCUGGCGUAAUGGUCAUCAGCGACCCGUCUUGAAACACGGACCAAGGAGUCGUCUUCGUAUGCGAGUGUUCGGGUGUAAAACCCCUACGCGUAAUGAAAGUGAACGCAGGUGAGAGCUUCGGCGCAUCAUCGACCGAUCCUGAUGUUCUCGGAUGGAUUUGAGUAAGAGCAUACGGGGCCGGACCCGAAAGAAGGUGAACUAUGCCUGUAUAGGGUGAAGCCAGAGGAAACUCUGGUGGAGGCUCGCAGCGGUUCUGACGUGCAAAUCGAUCGUCAAAUAUGGGCAUGGGGGCGAAAGACUAAUCGAACCUUCUAGUAGCUGGUUUCCGCGA